rnacentral:rRNA from 1 species
UAAGCGCGCGUAGGUGGUUUGUUAAGUUGGAUGUGAAAUCCCCGGGCUCAACCUGGGAACUGCAUUCAAAACUGACUGACUAGAGUAUGGUAGAGGGUGGUGGAAUUUCCUGUGUAGCGGUGAAAUGCGUAGAUAUAGGAAGGAACACCAGUGGCGAAGGCGACCACCUGGACUAAUACUGACACUGAGGUGCGAAAGCGUGGGGAGCAAACAGGAUUAGAUACCCCAGU